CUACGGGUGGCACCAGUGAGGAAUUUUGCGCAAUGGGCGAAAGCCUGACGCAGCAACGCCGCGUGAGUGAUGAAGGCCUUCGGGUCGUAAAGCUCUGUCAAGUGGGAAGAACCUAUGUAAUGUUAAUAUCAUUAUAUACUGACGGUACCACUGAAGGAGGCACCGGCUAACUCCGUGCCAGCAGCCGCGGUAAUACGGGGGGUGCAAGCGUUAUUCGGAAUCAUUGGGCGUAAAGGGCACGUAGGCGGCCUGGUAAGUCAGGUGUGAAAGCCCGGGGCUUAACCCCGGAAGUGCAUUUGAUACUGUCAGGCUGGAGUAUGGGAGAGGGAAGUGGAAUUCCUGGUGUAGAGGUGAAAUUCGUAGAUAUCAGGAGGAACACCGGUGGCGAAGGCGACUUCCUGGACCAAUACUGACGCUGAGGUGCGAAGGCGUGGGUAGCAAACAGGAUUAGAUACCCCUGUAGUC
rnacentral:rRNA from 1 species